UACGAAGGGGGCUAGCGUUGUUCGGAAUUACUGGGCGUAAAGCGCACGUAGGCGGAUCGAUCAGUCAGGGGGUGAAAUCCUGGAGCUCAACUCCAGAACUGCCUUUGAUACUGGGAAGCUUGAGUCCGGAAGAGGUGAGUGGAACUCCUAGUGUAGAGGUGGAAUUCGUAGAUAUUCGCAAGAACACCAGUGGCGAAGGCGGCUCACUGGUCCGGUACUGACGCUGAGGUGCGAAAGCGUGGGGAGCAAACAGGG
rnacentral:rRNA from 1 species